rnacentral:rRNA from 1 species
ACCCACCUGACCCCAUGCCGAACUCAGUAGUGAAACGAAACAGCGCCGAUGAUAGUGUAGCAGCUGCUAUGUGAAAGUAGGUCAUCGCCGGGCU